rnacentral:lncRNA from 1 species
UCACCACCAAACGAUCUGACAUUCAAUCACCAUGUUUCUUCCCUUCUGUAGACUCUACAACAACUCCACCCACAACAGGACAAAGUACUACAGCUGACCCCACAACACAACAGACCACAGUUACCAACUUUACUACACCUGCAGCUACAACAAAUCAGACCACUGCAGUUGACCCCACAACACAACCGACCACAGACACUAGAACUACAGUAACUACUGAACCACCACCAGCAACUACAAAAACGACACCACCAACAACAAUACCACCACCAACAACAAUACCACCACCAACACCACCAACAACAAUACCACCACCAACAACAAUACCACCACCAACACUACCAACAACAGUACCACCACCAACAACAACAACACCACCACCAACUACAAAACCAGCUGGUAUGUGUAAGAAUAGAAGAUGUUUCUGAACACUGCUAAAUGAAUCCUGAUUAUGCCAUGAUUAUGAAAGAACAUGAAUCAAUCAUGAACCCUGAUGGGUGAGAAGGUUACAGAGGCUACAACAAAACAUGUUAACCUCUCACCAUUAGCAAUAGCAUUUUUGGGGUGUAUGAUGUGCCUCUGUUAAUUUCUCAGUCAUUAUUAUUCACGAUUCAUUCACGAUUAUCCAUAAUCAUGGUAGCAUCCACAUUCAUGUAGAAGUGUUCAGAGACAUCUUCUAUUCUUACUUACAAUAAAAGGGUCUCCAAAAUGACACAAUGCAUUAUUCACCAUUCAGUUCCUAUAGGGAAAAAUAUAAUCUGAAACACAAACAAAACAUUAUGCAAAGGAAUAUGGGAACAAAUACCACACUUAUGACUACUUUACUACACUAUAAGUACAUUUUUCUCAAAUGUGGGGACUAGAUACAGUGGGGCAAAAAAGUAUUUAGUCAGCCACCAAUUGUGCAAGUUCUCCCACUUAAAAAGAUGAGAGAGGCCUGUAAUUGUCAUCAUAGGUACACUUCAACUAUGACAGACAAAAUGAGAAGAAAAAAUCCAGAAAAUCACAUUGUAGGAUUUUUAAUGAAUUUAUUUGCAAAUUAUGGUGGAAAAUAAGUAUUUGGUCACCUACAAACAAGCAAGAUUUCUGGCUCUCACAGACCUGUAACUUCUUCUUUAAGAGGCUCCUCUGUCCUCCACUCGUUACCUGUAUUAAUGGCACCUGUUUGAACUUGUUAUCAGUAUAAAAGACACCUGUCCACAACCUCAAACA